CUAGUUCUUACAUACAAGGUUCCUAACUAUCUGUCCUGAUGUAAACAAUUGAUUGACCAACAAUCUUGACGUUGUAGCUUCAUCUGCCCUUGCACUUUGUGACAGUUAGCUAUAUUUGCGACAUACGACACGAAUAGAGACACUUGCAUCCAACAACGUUCCCAAAUUGAUUGGUAGCAGACGUUAUCCAAAGUAAUGUUAGCUAGCUAUAGCCACAUCUUGUAUUUUUCAGUGGUUGACGUGUAACGUUAGUAGCUAAUAAUAGCCCAUGUCAUAACAAGUCUGAUCUAAAGUUGCAGUGCUGUUGUAUUCAAGGAAAACGUUGUCCAUCUAAUGACAAUGGUGCACAUUCUUAGAAGCUAAGAAAAGCACAAACGCGAUCUACAGUGACAGGUUCAGUAUGUUAAUGAAAGUAGGUUAACAAGGGGAAGCAUGGCAUUGUUGCAUGGCACUAGCUUACUGUAUUGUGUGUUUGUGUUUAAACCAUUAGAUUGUGGUUAGAUUUACACAAUUAGAUUGUGUAGUUAUAUGAUUGGUUUUAGUUCUGCAGGAAUACUGUAAUGACCUGACUAGAUCAUAAAAGAACAACUGUCCAGACAGAGGAUUGAGUUUACGAAUGGACGGUUUAUUAAACUAACUUUACACAGGCUACUGUUUGGCCGUAGCCCACGCCAAAUAAAUGAAAGAUAACCCACAAGCCAAUCGUGACCUUCUCUUGUGAAGCCCAGACGUAAAGAGAGAGAACAAAGGCUAAACCUGGUCUUAACUUCCAAUGCUCCCUCCCCCUGGACAACCCCCCUCCACGCCACUCCGCCAACCACCAGGAUGCCCGGCAUCAGAACAUUCCAGGCAUUCCCGUGAUUGGCAGAUAGCAGGUUGAUUGACAUGGCGGACCCCGCGAACACUGGGUACUGGCAUCCGCUCGCUCCCCAGCCAUGGCUGGUCUCCCCCACAGAAGGUUGCGUCUGAGGACUGCUCUCAGGUGGCUGAGUCCCCUCAGCACUGCCUGACCUCCAGCCGUGGUCAGAACUUUACCCCCAGGCUUCAGCAGCGGCCUGUUCCAAACACCCAGGCCCGGGUCUUGUGGCGUCUGCUGUCAGGAGCUCCAUGCCGGGGGAGAGAGACCCACCCCGUCCCCCACAGCUGCCCCAGAGAGGAGGCCUUUCUCCAGGGUAACUCCAGAGGACCUGGCCUUCUUCAGCAAGAUAAUACCAGGCAGGACCAUCACUGACCCAGAUAUACUGGAUGCCAGUUAAUGUGGACUGGCUCAAGUCCGUGAGAGGUUUCAGUGAGGUUCUGCUGAAGCCCCAGACUACAGAGGAAGUUUCUCAGAUCCUUGGGUAUUAUUCUCCAGUCUUCUAGUGUAUGAAGCCAGGUUUCCUCUACUGUUGCAGUGUUACAUGACUGGUAGCAGACAGUGUACCUGUGUUAUAGUGUUGUGUAUCCUGGCAGCGAGUCCUCAGGGUGGUAACACAGGGCUGGUGGAAGACAGUGUUUCUGUCUAUGAUGAGAUCAUCCUCUCUACCGCUCUCAUGAACAACAUCCUCAACUUCGACUCUGUCUCUGGUCAGUAUCGUCUGUAAUUCUAUGGUUACUGUCAGUAUUCAUUGGUCAGUUACACGUCAAAUUUCCUGUUCCAAUUCUCAAUGUUUUGCCCUAGUGUUUUACAGUCCAAUCCAGUUGAGUCUCUCUCUCCUGAUCGCGCUUUGUCGGCAGUGCACGGUUGAAAGUCAAUAUUUACGAGUUCACAGAGAUCUCAUUCACAGUAUACCCUGCAUAUGUCUGCUCAAUCGGAAAAUACCUUUAAUCAAAUCAAAUGUAUUUAUAUAGCCCUUCUUACAUCAGCUGAUAUCUCAAAGUGCUGUGCAGAAACCCAGCCUAAAACCCCAAACAGCAAGCAAUGCAGGUGUAGAAGCACGGUGGCUAGGAAAAACUCCCUAGAAAGGCCAAAACCUAGUGGUGCAUUGUCCAAAUCUGCGAUCGGAUUGAAUCCCGGCCCUAGUGAACUACCUCUGAUACUCAACUCCAACCUGCACUGAUGAGGCCACAGUAGACCUGUCUGAUUAGGGGUCUAACCGUGGCCAUAGUUCUCUCAUUGUACAAGUGUCUGAUCAACUUCUAAUGUAAGCAUAAUCUGUGUAAAUUCAUUGUAAAUAGAGCUGAUUAUAUUUUUUUAUGUAAUCAAUUUAUUUACCACCAGAAUUGAAGACAGCAGAUGGUGUUUGGUAACAGUGCAGAUAGUUUUAUUACAUGUAAUUUUAAAAAAAUUACAGCAACAAAAUAAGCUCAUUUUGUGAAUGAAUACGGAAUCUCUAAAACUAGAUGUACGGUUGGUUCUUUUUAUGUAAAUAAUUGUGCAUGCUCAUUUUCCAAAAGGGACCCAUAGAUGCCCAAUUCCAAACUGACCCCUAACCCCUACACUAUAUACUCGUGUAGGUCUGAAAGGAUUGGAGCGGUAUAAACAAUAUGGUGGUAGCUCCAUCUUGCCCUCUGAUGUUUAAAGCUCAGUCGAGUUUUCCUUUUUCUAUCUUGUUCUGAGGGGAGAAUAAAUGUGAUUAGUUGGAUGUAGGCAGAGUUUGCAGCUACAGGUGAAUGGCAAAUAAAAAAAGGUUUGUUAGGUGGUAAAA